rnacentral:rRNA from 1 species
AUUGAACGCUGGCGGCAGGCCUAACACAUGCAAGUCGAACGGUAACAGGAAGAAGCUUGCUUCUUUGCUGACGAGUGGCGGACGGGUGAGUAAUGUCUGGGAAACUGCCUGAUGGAGGGGGAUAACUACUGGAAACGGUAGCUAAUACCGCAUAACGUCGCAAGACCAAAGAGGGGGACCUUCGGGCCUCUUGCCAUCGGAUGUGCCCAGAUGGGAUUAGCUAGUAGGUGGGGUAACGGCUCACCUAGGCGACGAUCCCUAGCUGGUCUGAGAGGAUGACCAGCCACACUGGAACUGAGACACGGUCCAGACUCCUACGGGAGGCAGCAGUGGGGAAUAUUGCACAAUGGGCGCAAGCCUGAUGCAGCCAUGCCGCGUGUAUGAAGAAGGCCUUCGGGUUGUAAAGUACUUUCAGCGGGGAGGAAGGGAGUAAAGUUAAUACCUUGGCUCAUUGACGUUACCCGAAGAAGAAGCACCGGCUAACUCCGUG